CAUAAGACUGACAGUGCUAGUCGGAUAAAGUAUCUAUUCAAAAGAUGUGUCAAUUUGAUAUAUCGUCACAUAACACUUGUUGAGGAGCAUCUGCUACAAUAUGGUGUGGAUAAAAAGUAUACUUGUUGGAUAUGGCAUGAGGAGGGUGAUCCGAAUGAAGUAGUGCGCGAUGAUGAUGAUACUGAAGAUGAUAGUACUGAUGGUGCUGGACCUGUCGAACAUAGUGGUAUUGGAGAAUUGUUAGAUGAUUUACAUCAA
rnacentral:lncRNA from 1 species